GGUAACUUCUGGUAAAUUCUCAAACCCCGGGACACAAUUUGAACCAAUGAGAUGCAAUUCAAUACCUGGAGCCUCUGGGCCAGAGCUGCUCUCUUGCUAGAGAACUUUGAGUUUGUAUACCAGCAAUUAUUGGGGUUUUGUCUUCUCUCCAAGAAAGCCUCAGUGAGGAUGAAGACAACAGGAUAAAGCAGAACCAAGAGAGGGAGAGACACCAUUUGAGCUCUCCUGACACCAUUCGAGCUCCUCCUUCUCCAGGUUGGCUCCAAACCAGCAGAAGCUGAAUAAAGGACUGUGAACUUGGAAUGACUAUGGGACGCUAGGCUCUUACUGGUCCUAACUGAAGACUUGUUCCCAAACAGUGAAAUUAAUUAAUCAUUUAUUCAGAAUCUCCACUUCCUGCUAGUUGUCCAACUGGCAUGGCAGCAGCUCCUUCCUGCAAAGCAAUGUUGAAGAAGCUAUGGAAGCAAGAAGGAAGCAUGGAUUCUAGAAACUGAUGACAAACCACUUACCCCUAUUGCUCUUCUUCCUAAAGCUAAAGAACCCUAGGACCUUGAGGACACCAUUUGAAAACUAUUCAUGGAGAACAUGGCAUCCUAGAAUGAGAAAUCUGCAUCUGGUACUGUCAGCCAGGGUUCCUAGCUUUCAGCAGAGAGGAAACUUAUUAAAAACAGAUAGGAUAGCAUAGCUCACCCCACCCCUGAGAGGGAGAGAUGACAAACUUGGAGGUAGGAAGAACGGCCUGGAUUCACAAUGCAGUGAAGAUACUGCUGCUGCCGGGCACAGCAACCCUGGCUCGUAUCACUAGACAUGGGACCUGGCUGGGGGGCUUGUACCAGGGAGCCUGGACACGGGACCCUGCUGCUGGGGCUAUGGUUGCAGGGCUUCUGGAGGGUCUGUGUUGCUGGGACUCCAAUUGCUGCCCCACAGCCACUGGAAUGGAGCCUGCCCCAGUUUCUGAUUCACAGUUUGAGGCAGGAGUGUCUCACUGGAAGAUCUUGCACCAUGGGCUUGUACCUUAGCUUUAAGGAAGGCUGUGGAGGGGCAUACAUGGUAUUUUCGUUUCUGUAAUUUGAAGUAGCUCUACCUAAUAAGACCAAAAAUUCUCCAAAAGGAGAAGGAGGUUCAGAUGCUAAGUGAGGAGGAAAUAAUGACAAAUGCUUACUACAGGAACUCUGGCAAAUUGCUUUAUCUCUGAGCAUUAUUCCUCUAGGAAAAAUAAUGGCCCUUCUAAGUCAUCCAUCCAUCCAUCCAUCCACCCAUCCAUUUAUCCAUCCAUAGCAAACAUCUAGUAAGAGCUGUUCUAGCUAUCUAUUGUUGCUUAAAAAAUGACCCCAGCUUAGUGGCUGAAACAAUCAUUUCAAGGUAUCUCAUGACUUUUAUUGGUAAGAAACUCAUACAGGACUCAGCUGGCUGGUUCUGCUCCCUGUGGAGUCAGUUGGAGUCCUUUGAGAUAUUCAAAUAGCAGCUGAUCUGAUCUGGACUGGUCAAAAUGGCUUUGCUGACUUAUCUGAUCCCUUGACGAGGAAGACUGGAAGGCUGGACUCUGCUGGGCUCCACUCCCUCUCCAUGUGGUCUUAGGCCUUUCCACAGGGACUCAUCAGCAGGGUAGCUGGGCUUCUUACGUGAAAGCUCAGGGCUCCAAGAGACCAAGUUUGCCUUAAGGCUAGGCUCAGAGGUGUCAUAAUGUCACUUCCACUAUACUCAGUUGGUCAAAGCAGUCCCAGGCCCAGAAUCCAAAGGGGAAAUAAAAUACAUAGACAUCACCUCUGGAUGGGAGGCAUCAGUGAAUUUGCAGUAAGAGCCUUUGAUCCAUUGUAAGAACCAACCAUGUGCCAGACACAGUGUUAAGAGGGGGAGAUACAAAACCAAGACAUGGCCCUGUCUUCAAGGAGCUUGCAGUCAUACAAGGUUACAAAUGAAGGCAGUUAAUGAGAUCAAUGUCAAGAAGCAUUGUAAAUUGUAAAACAAUUUUUAUACAAAGGAUUGCUUUAUGUCUGAGCUUUAUUCCUAAAUAAUCCUAAAACUAGGAUCUAACAAACCCCUCUAAUGCUCUCAAGUAUCAGUUACUAUUUGUUGACUGUUCACCAAGAAUCAGACACUUAGCUAAGAAUUCUUUUGGUAUAAUUGUUUCCAAUUCUCAAACCAAUCCCACUGCAGCAAUUUCUAUGUGCCAAAGCCUUGCCCAUGCUUCUUGUUUGAUGACAUGGUAUCUUGAGUUUGGUCUUAUAUCAGCACCCACCACUCUACCCAUGGAUGCCACUUAAUAGAGGCUUCUCGAGAUGCUCACACAGGCCUCUUGCCACUUAAGGAGAGAUUUUCAAUUUACAGUGACCCAACCAACCACUCGUUAGAUACUCUGAUCUGUUCCUCUCACAAUUAUUACUUUAAUUUGCUGCCCUCUCUCGGGCCAUGAGGCGACCGACCAGCUUGUAGGCUGCAAGGCAGACAGAGUUAAAGACAUAUAUAAAUGUGCUUAUGCUCUAUUAACAAAACUUACUAAAUUCCUGCUGUGUUUGGGGAACUAGACCACAGAGCACUGUGAGCCAACACAGUUCCUGCCUCAGAGAAUAGUCAUGCAGACAAGAUUUUAAAACUUUUCAUUAGUUUUACCUGAUCGAUAAAAUUAAAAUGCAGAAAAUCAGAAAAGUACAAAAUGAAAAAGCAGCUAGUCAUAAUCUCACUAUCCAAAAACGAUGCUAUUCGUAUU